UACGAAGGGGGCUAGCGUUGCUCGGAAUUACUGGGCGUAAAGGGCGCGUAGGCGGACAGUUUAGUCAGAGGUGAAAGCCCAGGGCUCAACCCUGGAAUUGCCUUUGAUACUGACUGUCUUGAGUACGGGAGAGGUGUGUGGAACUCCGAGUGUAGAGGUGAAAUUCGUAGAUAUUCGGAAGAACACCAGUGGCGAAGGCGACACACUGGCCCGUUACUGACGCCUGAGGCGCGAAAGCGUGGGGAGCAAACAGG
rnacentral:rRNA from 1 species